rnacentral:rRNA from 1 species
UCAGUGGCGAACGGGUGAGUAACACGUGAGCAACCUGCCCCUGACUCUGGGAUAAGCGCUGGAAACGGCGUCUAAUACUGGAUACGAGUAGCGACCGCAUGGUCAGCUACUGGAAAGAUUUAUUGGUUGGGGAUGGGCUCGCGGCCUAUCAGCUUGUUGGUGAGGUAAUGGCUCACCAAGGGCGUCGACGGGUAGCCGGCCUGAGAGGGGUGACCGGCCACCACUGGGACUGAGACACGGCCCAGACUCCUACGGGAGGCAGCAGUGGGGGAAUAUUGCACAAUGGGCGCAAGCCUGAUGCAGCAACGCCGCGUGAGGGAUGACGGCCUUCGGGUUGUAAACCUCUUUUAGCAGGGAAGAAGCGAAAGUGACGGUACCUGCAGAAAAAGCGCCGGCUAACUACGUGCCAGCAGCCGCGGUAAUACGUAGGGCGCAAGCGUUAUCCGGAAUUAUUGGGCGUAAAGAGCUCGUAGGCGGUUUGUCGCGUCUGCUGUGAAAUCCGGAGGCUCAACCUCCGGCCUGCAGUGGGUACGGGCAGACUAGAGUGCGGUAGGGGAGAUUGGAAUUCCUGGUGUAGCGGUGGAAUGCGCAGAUAUCAGGAGGAACACCGAUGGCGAAGGCAGAUCUCUGGGCCGUAACUGACGCUGAGGAGCGAAAGGGUGGGGAGCAAACAGGCUUAGAUACCCUGGUAGUCCACCCCGUAAACGUUGGGAACUAGUUGUGGGGUCCAUUCCACGGAUUCCGUGACGCAGCUAACGCAUUAAGUUCCCCGCCUGGGGAGUACGGCCGCAAGGCUAAAACUCAAAGGAAUUGACGGGGACCCGCACAAGCGGCGGAGCAUGCGGAUUAAUUCGAUGCAACGCGAAGAACCUUACCAAGGCUUGACAUAUACGAGAACGGGCCAGAAAUGGUCAACUCUUUGGACACUCGUAAACAGGUGGUGCAUGGUUGUCGUCAGCUCGUGUCGUGAGAUGUUGGGUUAAGUCCCGCAACGAGCGCAACCCUCGUUCUAUGUUGCCAGCACGUAAUGGUGGGAACUCAUGGGAUACUGCCGGGGUCAACUCGGAGGAAGGUGGGGGAUGACGUCAAAUCAUCAUGCCCCUUAUGUCUUGGGCUUCACGCAUGCUACAAUGGCCGGUACAAAGGGCUGCAAUACCGCGAGGUGGAGCGAAUCCCAAAAAGCCGGUCCCAGUUCGGAUUGAGGUCUGCAACUCGACCUCAUGAAGUCGGAGUCGCUAGUAAUCGCAGAUCAGCAACGCUGCGGUGAAUACGUUCCCGGGUCUUGUACACACCGCCCGUCAAGUCAUGAAAGUCGGUA